rnacentral:rRNA from 1 species
AUGAAACAACUUAUUCCAUUCCCUCGGAGCAAGAGCAAAUUUAACAAGGCAAUACAACAAAACGUGGAGCAGCUAAUGGACAUCCAAUCAGCUCUCAAGGCAUUCGAGGAGCGAGGAACAAUGGAUAUAUCGAAUAAAAAAUGUAACCAGCUUUCCCCGGGUGAAGAAUCCUCCACUAAUAAGGAGCCUCAGGGGGCAGAUGACAUAGGAGAGAUCUACAACCAGUUUUCCUUAGGUUCUUCUGUUGACAACAAGCCUGCACAACAACAUGCUCGCGCACACCGCAACCAUAGAGAUAUACCGCGACACAUACCAGGAGAGUUGUGCUUCAUGUAG